GACGAACGCUGGCGGCGUGCCUAAUACAUGCAAGUAGAACGCUGAAGGAAGGAGCUUGCUCUUUCCGGAUGAGUUGCGAACGGGUGAGUAACGCGUAGGUAACCUGCCUGGUAGCGGGGGAUAACUAUUGGAAACGAUAGCUAAUACCGCAUAACAGUAGAUAUCGCAUGAUAGCUACUUGAAAGGUGCAAAUGCACCACUACCAGAUGGACCUGCGUUGUAUUAGCUAGUUGGUGAGGUAACGGCUCACCAAGGCGACGAUACAUAGCCGACCUGAGAGGGUGAUCGGCCACACUGGGACUGAGACACGGCCCAGACUCCUACGGGAGGCAGCAGUAGGGAAUCUUCGGCAAGUGGACGGAAGUCUGACCGAGGCAACGCCGCGUGAGGGAAGAAGGUUU
rnacentral:rRNA from 1 species